AGUGAACGCUGGCGGUAGGCCUAACACAUGCAAGUCGAACGGCAGCACAGUAAGAGCUUGCUCUUACGGGUGGCGAGUGGCGGACGGGUGAGGAAUACAUCGGAAUCUACUUUUUCGUGGGGGAUAACGUAGGGAAACUUACGCUAAUACCGCAUACGACCUACGGGUGAAAGCAGGGGAUCUUCUGACCUUGCGCGAUUGAAUGAGCCGAUGUCGGAUUAGCUAGUUGGCGGGUUAAAGGCCCACCAAGGCGACGAUCCGUAGCUGGUCUGAGAGGAUGAUCAGCCACACUGGAACUGAGACACGGUCCAGACUCCUACGGGAGGCAGCAGUGGGGAAUAGUGGACAAUGGGCGCAAGCCUGAUCCAGCCAUACCGCGUGGGUGAAGAAGGCCUUCGGGUUGUAAAGCCCUUUUGUUGGGAAAGAAAAGCAGCAGGUUAAUACCCCGCUGUUCUGACGGUACCCAAAGAAUAAGCACCGGCUAACUUCGUG
rnacentral:rRNA from 1 species